rnacentral:rRNA from 1 species
CUACGGGUGGCUGCAGUGGGGAAUAUUGCACAAUGGAGGAAACUCUGAUGCAGCAACGCCGCGUGGAGGAUGACACUUUUCGGAGCGUAAACUCCUUUUAUAUAGGAAGAAGAUGACGGUACUAUAUGUAUAAGCGCCGGCUAACUCCGUGCCAGCAGCCGCGGUAAUACGGAGGGCGCAAGCGUUACUCGGAAUCACUGGGCGUAAAGAGCGUGUAGGCGGAUUAAAAAGUCAGAAGUGAAAUCCUAUAGCUUAACUAUAGAACUGCUUCUGAAACUCUUAAUCUAGAAUAUGGGAGAGGUAGAUGGAAUUUCUGGUGUAGGGGUAACAUCCGUAGAGAUCAGAAGGAAUACCGAUUGCGAAGGCGAUCUACUAGAACAUUAUUGACGCUGAGACGCGAAAGCGUGGGGAGCAAACAGGAUUAGAUACCCUCGUAGUC